AUUGAACGCUGGCGGCAGGCCUAACACAUGCAAGUCGAGCGAGUGGCGGACGGGUGAGUAAUGUAUGGGGAUGUGCCCGAUAGAGGGGGAUAACUACUGGAAACGGUGGCUAAUACCGCCUACUAUUGGAGCGACCCAUAUGGGAUUAGCUAGUAGGUGGGGUAAAGGCUCACCAAGGCGACGAUCUGUAGCUGGUCUGAGAGGCUGACCAGCCACACUGGGACGGAGACACGGCCCAGACUCCUACGGGAGGCAGCAGUGGGGAAUGUUGGACAAUGGGCACAACCCUGAUCCAGCCAUGCCGCGUGUAUGAUGAAGGCCUUCGGGUUGUAAAGUACUUUUGGCAGAGAAGCGGUAUCCGCAGAAGAAGCACCGGCUAACUCCGUGCCAGCAGCCGCGGUAAUUC
rnacentral:rRNA from 1 species